rnacentral:rRNA from 1 species
UACGUAGGUGGCGAGCGUUGUCCGGAUUUACUGGGCGUAAAGAGCGCGCAGGCGGUCGUUCAAGUCGCGUGUGAAAGCCCCCGGCUCAACUGGGGAGGGUCACGCGAUACUGAUCGACUCGAAGGCAGGAGAGGGAAGUGGAAUUCCCGGUGUAGUGGUGAAAUGCGUAGAUAUCGGGAGGAACACCGAUGGCGAAGGCAGCUCUCUGGGACGGUACUGACGCUGGAGACGCGAAAGCG